rnacentral:tRNA from 1 species
UUCCUUAUAGCUAAGUGGGUAAAGAAUCUGCCUGCAAUGCAGGAGACCUGGGUUUGAUCCCUGGGUUGGGAA